GAUGAACGCUGGCGGCGUGCCUAAUACAUGCAAGUCGAGCGAACGGACGAGAAGCUUGCUUCUCUGAUGUUAGUGGCGGACGGGUGAGUAACACGUGGAUAACCUACCUAUAAGACUGGGAUAACUUCGGGAAACCGGAGCUAAUACCGGAUGAUAUUUUGAACCGCAUGGUUCAAAAGUGAAAGACGGUCUUGCUGUCACUUAUAGAUGGAUCCGCGCUGCAUUAGCUAGUUGGUAAGGUAACGGCUUACCAAGGCAACGAUGCAUAGCCGACCUGAGAGGGUGAUCGGCCACACUGGAACUGAGACACGGUCCAGACUCCUACGGGAGGCAGCAGUAGGGAAUCUUCCGCAAUGGGCGAAAGCCUGACGGAGCAACGCCGCGUGAGUGAUGAAGGUAUUCGGAUCGUAAAACUCUGUUAUUAGGGAAGAACAUAUGUGUAAGUAACUGUGCACAUCUUGACGGUACCUAAUCAGAAAGCCACGGCUAACUACGUG
rnacentral:rRNA from 1 species